rnacentral:snoRNA from 1 species
GCACAUUAUUAGAACCGGUUAGUUGUACUUGUAAUAUAAUCGGUGUCAAAAUGUUGCAAAAUGAAACGCCACAUUUUACUUGUCUUUAAUUUUUCGAAAAACUCGAUCUUUAAAGAUUUCUAAUGUUGCGACA